GCAGUAUUCGUCUAGCGGAUAGGAUGCUUGGCUUUCAACCAAGGUGACGUGGGUUCGAAUCCCACAUACUGCACCA
rnacentral:tRNA from 1 species